rnacentral:rRNA from 1 species
CCUACGGGAGGCAGCAGUGAGGAAUAUUGGUCAAUGGGCGCGAGCCUGAACCAGCCAAGCAGCGUGAAGGAUGACGGCUCUAUGGGUUGUAAACUGCUUUUGUACAAGGGUAAACGGAGGCACGCGUACCUUUUUGUACGUACUUUAUGAAUAAGGAUCGGCUAACUCCGUGCCAGCAGCCGCGGUAAUACGGAGGAUCCGAGCGUUAUCCGGUUUUAUUGGGUUUAAAGGGUGUGUAGACGGGCUGUUAAGUCAGACGUGAAAGUCCGCGGCUCAACCGUGGAAUUGCAUUUGAUACUGGCCGCGUAGAGUAUAGUUGAGGUAGGCGGAAUGCGUGGUGUAGCGGUGAAAUGCUUAGAUAUCAUGCAGAACACCGAUUGCGAAGGCAGCCUACUAAACUGCUACUGACGUUGAUGCGCGAAAGUGUGGGUAUCAAACAGGAUUAGAUACCCCUGUAGUC